rnacentral:rRNA from 1 species
UACAGGGGUGCAAACGUUGCUCGGAAUUAUUGGGCGUAAAGCGCGCGUAGGCGGCUACUUAAGUCGGAUGUGAAAGCCCUGGCUCAACUGGGAAGUGCACCCGAAACUGAGUGGCUUGAGUGCGAAAGAGGGUCGCGGAAUUCCGGUGUAGAGGUGAAAUUCGUAGAUAUCGGGAGGAACACCGGUGGCGAAGGCGGCGACCUGGUAGAUACUGACGCUGAGGCGCGAAAGCGUGGGGAGCAAACAGG